ACGUGUCAGCGGUCGCUUCCACACUGAGCGAAUUAGUGCGCUGGUCCCGCGGAUGCUGAUGGGUGUCACGUGUUACGCAAUGUUUUCUGUCCUGCAAACCAACGAGCACGUUGCACCGCUGAAGCGACUUUUUUUAAAAUAUUCCUGGCCCAGCAUGGCGCCUUGUUCUGGGUUUCUAUCUAGAGAAGUGGACCUCUUCAGGGCCUAGCCCAGCAGGAUUGGAUCAGUUCUGGAACUGGCAGCCCAUCCGUGUAAAUGAUGUCAUCAAAGAGGGAUUUGUGGAGUUCUGAAUGGGAUGGAGAGAAGAGAGAGAACUGUCAGUUGCAGCUGGAUGAUGGUUCAGACAGUUCCUGAUUUCCGAGACAGGGGAGGGACUGGAAAUGGAAGAUUGCAGAAGUAAAGGUGUUCUUCCAGGUGUUGCACGAGGAACUAGAGCUUCCCUCAUUAAGAAUCCCCCUGCUGUGAUUCACGAAGCCGCUCUCACCUUGUACACAACGCAGAGCCCUACCUGUCGAAACACCUUCAUCCAGUUUGCACUGUCACAGGAACCAUUCCAUGACCUUUGGACCUCGAGCUGUUUUAAUAGGAACUUGUUUUCUUUUGGUUCACUGUGCUAAAAUGCAUACUUUUUUUUUUUUUUUUUUUUU